rnacentral:rRNA from 1 species
CCUACGGGAGUCAGCAGUGGGGAAUAUUGCACAAUGGGGGGAACCCUGAUGCAGCAAUGCCGCGUGGGUGAAGAAGCACUCCGGUGCGUAAAGCCCUGUCAGCAGGGAAGAAGAAAUGACGGUACCUGAGUAAGAAGCCCCGGCUAACUACGUGCCAGCAGCCGCGGUAAUACGUAGGGGGCAAGCGUUAUCCGGAAUUACUGGGUGUAACGGGAGCGUAGACGGUGAUGUAAGUCUGGAGUGAAAGGCGGGGGCCCAACCCCCGGACUGCUCUGGAAACUAUGUGACUGGAGUGCAGGAGAGGUGAGCGGAAUUCGUAGUGUAGCGGUGAAAUGCGUAGAUAUUAGGAGGAACACCAGUGGCGAAGGCGGCUCACUGGACUGUAACUGACGUUGAGGCUCGAAAGCGUGGGGAGCAAACAGGAUUAGAUACCCCAGUAGUC